UUGAACUAGGGCUUCCGAUGCCAAUUCUGGAUUGCUCCUGGCUGUGCCAUGUUGGUUCUGUAUGCCAAAAUUCUUGGACUUUCUUGCUAUUGUUGACCCCCAGGUGUCUUGCUAGAUGCUGCCUGGGACCGACACUGAGCAGAAUCAUGACAGGAGUGUCCGUGUCCCUAGGCUUCCCUUUUUGCCCAGUUGCCGUAUAUUGGUGGAGGCUCCAACCUGCCCUGCAAGAUGCUGGGUGCUCUUCUGCAUCUGACUUAUUCUUCCGCUCUGAUUUAUGUGAACUUACUUCCAAGACAUGUGAAUGAAGAAGUGAAUCCAAACCUGGAAGUGGAUAUUUUUAAAAAAGUCCCAUCAUCAUUUUGGGAGCUGAGAUGUCCAAGUGUCACAAAAGAGAAUUUCUCAAUGAGUAGAAGUCAAAUGGUGGGCAAACAAGAGUUGCACCAUCAAUGCAGCAUUCUUCUGGGUUCAUUUUCUGACUUUUGAAGAGUAAGAAAAUCGAGGCAUGGAAACAAUGUUGUCCACAGCCACACCGAGGGGACAAAGUAGAGCUGGAAUUCCAACACUGGUUUGUCCAGCUUCAAGACCCAACCUCUCUAUGAGGAUGAAAACCUAAUGAAACAAAUCAAAACAGAUGAAACAACCUCAGCCUACAGGUUAAAGAAUGCGCUCACUCACUCAAGUCAUAGUGAAGAUAUGGAACACAUCAUUUUGCUGGUACAGAGGCAGAUUCACAGAUGAGAAUGUCAGGGAUGCUGUCUCAGAGGCGCUCGUGUCCUUACGAGGGAGGUGUAAGGACUACCUUGUUUUUCAUCUGCCCAUCUUCUUCAUUUCAUAUUGGGAUCUCCCCUUCCCAGUUCACAUGCCAACUGGAAGGUUUGCCAGUCCAAAUCCCAGCACUCAUCUGGCCAAGGGGUGAAUGUUUGACUCAUAUUGGAAAAUUAGACUAUAGGAAAGUAAAUGAUGACCCCCUAAUCUGAAAAUGGCUAGAGUGGAUUAAUCCAGCUAGCAGCACCCUGAAGAUAGCUGCCCAUUUGUUCCUGCCAUCUGGCUGUUCAGCUUUCCUUCUUUCUGAGAGCUUCCUUGUGGCAGCUACUGUAGGUUGGUUCACUCAGCGCCCAUUCCAUUUCCCGUCAAGCCGUGCUUUCUCCCCUCUAGAACGUGGAAGACUCAAAGCUCACUUUCCCAGACUUCCUUGCAGCUAGGAGUGGCCAUGAUACUUGACCAGCGAGAUGCAAGUGUAAGUCUGCUGGGGCUGUCUAUCCCCUUUCUCCUUCUUCCUACUGGAACGUGGACCUGAUGGUUGUAGCUGUGGCAUAUACCUUAUGAGCAUGAGGGAAAGCUUAAGAGAAUUGCGGGCACCAGCCUGACACUGCUUAGUGACGUCAGGCAGGCACAAACUUCCCUUUGGGCUCCUUGCUGAAGAACUCCAUAGUAGUUUCUGUUACUUGUGGCCAAAUUUACCUCUUCACUGAUACAUGAUCUGCACAUUUUCUUUGCACUUUUAUAAACAGGGUGUAUGCUUGAGGUAGGCAGAGUUUCUGUUUGCAACUAAGAAACCUUAAUUGAUAUAAGGAAAGGAAAAUAAUAUUAUGAU
rnacentral:lncRNA from 1 species